UUUAAACUCCAUCUUUACACAUUAGUAUCUCAAACUAACUAAUUUAUCUGCUUCUUGGACACUUUGGAGAACGACAGGGAGAGGAAGAGAGAAACUGGAGAAACUUUCUGCGACACUUCCGGUUGAAGCUUCCGGUAAUCACGCCCAGGUGUGUUCAGGUGUUCUCAGGUGUGUAUAUCAUUGUUUCGAGCAGGUAAGCGGUGCGGACCGCGGGCAGCCUGGCUGUGGAUCAAAGCGGUGGAAGAAGAAGGAGCCGGGGAAGGAGAGAUGAAGUCUAGAUACUCAGAACUCUGUUGACGUCUUCCAGGAGGAUCCCCCGUCGGUGGCCGUCUUCCUCAGGUAGGAGACUCAAAGCUUUCUUAAUGUUGUUUUAUUAUGUUCCAGG